rnacentral:ncRNA from 2 species
AAUUAGUCAUAUGACUGACGGAAGUGGAGUUACCACAUGAAGUAUGACUAUUAAAAGCCGACCGUCUGGGCAGAAAAG